GAUGAACGCUGGCGGCGUGCCUAAUACAUGCAAGUCGAGCGAACGGACGAGAAGCUUGCUUCUCUGAUGUUAGCGGCGGACGGGUGAGUAACACGUGGAUAACCUACCUAUAAGACUGGGAUAACUUCGGGAAACCGUAGCUAAUACCGGAUAAUAUUUUGAACCGCAUUGUUCAAAAGUGAAAGACGGUCUUGCUGUCACUUAUAGAUGGAUCCGCGCUGCAUUAGCUAGUUGGUAAGGUAACGGCUUACCAAGGCGACGAUGCAUAGCCGACCUGAGAGGGUGAUCGGCCACACUGGAACUGAGACACGGUCAAGACUCCUACGGGAGGCAGCAGUAGGGAAUCUUCCGCAAUGGGCGAGAUCCUGACGAAGCAACGCCGCGCGAGUGAUGAAGAUCUUCGGAUCGUAAAACUCUGUUAUUAGGGAAGAACAUAUGUGUAAGUAACUGUACACAUCUUGACGGUACCUAAUCAGAAAGCAACGGCUAACUACGUG
rnacentral:rRNA from 1 species